CAAAUCAGGUAGGAUUACCCGCUGAACUUAAGCAUAUCAAUAAGCGGAGGAAAAGAAACUAACAAGGAUUCCCCUAGUAACUGCGAGUGAAGCGGGAAAAGCUCAAAUUUGUAAUCUGGCGGUCUUUGGCCGUCCGAAUUGUAAACUAGAGAAGUGUUAUCCGCGCUGGACCGUGUACAAGUCCCCUGGAAUGGGGCGUCAUAGAGGGUGAGAAUCCCGUCUUUGACACGGACUACCAGGGCUAUGUGAUGCGCUCUCAAAGAGUCGAGUUGUUUGGGAAUGCAGCUCAAAAUGGGUGGUAAAUUCCAUCUAAAGCUAAAUAUUGGCGAGAGACCGAUAGCGAACAAGUACCGUGAGGGAAAGAUGAAAAGAACUUUGGAAAGAGAGUUAAACAGUACGUGAAAUUGCUGAAAGGGAAACGCUUGAAGUCAGUCGCGUUAGCGAGGGAUCAGCCUUACUUUUGUGGGGUGUACUUCCUCGUUGAUGGGUCAGCAUCAGUUUUGGCUGCUGGAUAAAGGCUAGGGGAAUGUGGCAUCUUCGGAUGUGUUAUAGCCCCUGGUUGGAUACAGUGGCUGGGACUGAGGAACUCAGCACGCGCAAGUUGUGCUUAGGAUGCUGGCAAAAUGGCUUUAAUCGACCCGUCUUGAAACACCGACC
rnacentral:rRNA from 1 species